rnacentral:rRNA from 1 species
AGCGAACGCUGGCGGCAGGCCUAACACAUGCCAGUCGAACGAACCUUUCGGGGUUAGUGGCGGACGGGUGAGUAACACGUGGGAACGUGCCCUUAGGUUCGGAAUAACUCAGGGAAACUUGUGCUAAUACCGAAUGUGCCCUUCGGGGGAAAGAUUAAUCGCCUUUAGAGCGGCCCGCGUCUGAUUAGCUAGUUGGUUGAGGUAAUGGCUCACCAAGGCGACGAUCAGUAGCUGGUCUGAGAGGAUGAUCAGCCACAUUGGGACUGAGACACGGCCCAAACUCCUACGGGAGGCAGCAGUGGGGAAUCUUGCGCAAUGGGCGAAAGCCUGACGCAGCCAUGCCGCGUGAAUGAUGAAGGUCUUAGGAUUGUAAAAUUCUUUCACCGGGGACGAUAAUGACGGUACCCGGAGAAGAAGCCCCGGCUAACUUCGUG